rnacentral:antisense_RNA from 1 species
AAAAAGCACUAACAAUACAACAUCAACUUAGAGAGUGAGUUUUAACAAAAGAUAUUUCUUUUAGAAUACCGUCCGAAAGAUGAUAAAUUCUUUUGCACUUUUUGAUUAUGCUGAUGUCGUGGGAAAUAGUAAUCACAGCAGAGUGAGAACAAUAAGUUGAGAUAAUAUCAAUGAUUUGUAUCGUUUGCUCAUUCAUUGAUGAGUUUUUUGAAAGUUCAUCUUGGAAAAUGAUCGGUUCGUCUAUCAGAAUCAGAUUGUAGUUUUUAGAAUAAAGUAUUAUUCUGCAUGCGUAAAGGUACCUAAGAUAAAUUUCAGAAAUUACAAAUAUUGGAGGUUUACUGGAAUUUCUGGAACUUCUUAGACAAAGUGGUAAAGAUUUCUGUUUUGACUGAUCUUCCUCAUGGAUAUUAAUAUGACUGUUCUGAAGAGAAAUCUGUGAAUUUAUUCCAUUUAAUGUAUUAAUUACGUACUUAUAAAUUCCACAAAUCUUAAGUACACUAUGAACUUCAUUAUCACUGUAUUGGUUGAAUGGGUCAAUUACAUCCCUGACGGUACAAUUUGGUAAAAUACACAUUUUUUGAGGAAUUACUCCAAUUUUAUUUCUAAGAAUAUGUCUUGGAAUAGAGUUAAUUGGCUGGCCAAGCAGAGAUAUUGUUCCUGAGAUAACUGGAGAUAUUUUCAGAAUUGAGCUAAAAAUAGAAGAUUUUCCAGACCCUGUUCUUCCAAUUAAUCCAACAACUUCUCCAUUGAAUGCUUUCAAAGAAAUAUCCUUGAGAAUUGAACUCGUACAUAAAUUUCCCUUAUCAGGAAUUUCAUAGUUAAUGAAUACAUUUGAAAUGGAUAGAACUGGAUUUCUAUGGUUAGACAUAUCAUUAGCCGAAAGAAGUGAGACGAAAAUGUUAUGGUAAGUCUUCUUGAAGUUGGUGUGAUCUGAAUCUCUAUUUAAGAAAAGAGAUUUACGUGUAGAAUUGUUUUUAAGUCUAAGAAGCAUAUUC